GCCCCUGGGGAGGAAUAAACACCAAGGUCAGUUAUGUUUGUCUUUUUUUUACUCAUGUGUUUGGGUGUUUUACCUGCAUGUAUUUCUGGGCACCACACACAUGCAGUGCCCACAGAAUUAAGAGGGUGUUAGGUCCCCCGCGACAGGCAUUCCAGACAGGCAUUGUGAGGCACCAAUAGGGUACGGGGAAUCAAACUUAGGUCCUCCGGAAGAGCAGCUUCUUUCUUUUCUUUCUUUCUUUCUUUCUUUCUUUCUUUCUUUCUUUCUUUCUUUCUUUUUUUUUUUCCGGAGCUGGGGACCAAACCCAGGGCCUUGCGCUUGCUAGGCAAGCGCUCUACCACUGAGCUAAAUCCCCAACCCCUGGAAGAGCAGCUUCUUAACCACUGAGCCAUUCCUCCAGUCAUGGAUCGCCAGUUCUGGACCAUCCAUGUUGGAAGUCAUUCACACAAUAGCAAAAAGUAGCAUUUUGCAUUUUUGGUGUGAUGUUUACCACUAAAUGGAUACAUAAUGCGAGGGAAGCUCUGUAUAACCCUCAUCUGUAUUAUCAACACCCUAUUCCUGUGGUUCUCUUUUUUGAUCUCCCAGCAGGAAGUUGCCUCUGAAUCCCACAAAACACAGUCAUAGUUUUUUCUCAAUACCUGUGUAUGAGCACAGCUAUCUAUGGCAAGAUGUACGUGUCAUUAUUUUUAUAUAAAUUUCCUUUCUUCCUUCCAUUCUAGCUCUGGGAAUGAGAUCCAGGUCUUGUACCUACUAGACAAACGCUGUAGUACUGAGCCACACCCCCGCCCCUAUUGGUAAGUACUUGGAUACUGUGUCUUCUCUGCUCCAGGCGCUUCUCUCUCCCUGUCCUCUCUCAUGUAGCCAUAAGGCGAUUUUACCAUGUUACUAUUAUCAUUGCAAAGACAAGAGAACCAAGCCCCUAAGAGGUAACUAGUCCAGGCUUGCAUAGCUAUCUAAAGAGCUGCUAGAGUCAAAAGCAGGAGUCCAGGGGGAAUGUGCUCUUAAGGACCACCUAGCCUGGGCUAACACAGUAUAUAUGUUCCAGGGGGAGCAGACCGGCAACUGCAACUAGAGACACCAGAAUGAAUGUGCUCCAGGACAGCUGAGCCCAGAAUUUAGGACUCUGAACCCUCUUAGCCUUAGUAUGAAGCUCUCCAUAUGAAGAGACUUAGUGUAGAGGAAGAAAAAGCAAUCCAAGAAUAGAAAGUCACAGAGAGCUCGGUGGUGGUGGUGGCAGCGCUCGCCCUUAAUCCCAGUCAGGUGGAUCGCUGAGUUUGAGGCCAGCCUGGUCUACAGAGUAAGUUCCAGGAUAGCCCAAGGAGCUGGGCCCAGCACAUUCUUGCAGUUCCUCUAUGCAGUAUGUAAGUAAGUAGUUCUUCAGACUGAGUCUCGGGUAGCCCAGGCUAGUCUCAAACUCAGUAGGUAGUUAAGGAUAUCCUUGAAAUGCUGAUACUCCUGCUUCUACCUCCCAUCACACCUGGUUUAUGCAGUGCUGGGGGAACCUAUCUUGUGCAUGCUGGGAAAGUACUCUGUCUAUGGGGCUCUAUCCCACACCCAGUACAUAUGUUUUAAAUAGAUCUCAUACUUACAUAGGGAAAACUGAGACGCUUUCCUGGAUACAGGAUACCUCUGGUCAGGCAGCAGGCCUACAGAAGAUGCCAUUUCUAGGAUUUAAAGGAAUAAUUGGGAGGAGGGAAGCCCAUUAGCAAAAGGCAAACUGAAGGCAUUUUGUGGGCUGAGGUUUUUACAAAGCCUACUUUAUUUAGGGUUUUUUAAAGCCUCAAUCUCCCUUCUAGCCCACCGACCAAAGUUUGGGGAGAAAGAUGGUUAGUAGGACAAGGGGAUUGUGGGCCUGUUUAGAAGUAGUUCGUUAGGAAAAUUUCAAUCUUCGUGGUCAGGAUAUUAGCAGUCCAGUCCAAGAGCAAAUACCAAGCAAUAGCAGCGGCUUGAUCCAGGAGAAAUCGUGAGGCUCUGUCCAAUCAAUCUGAGUCAGCAGAAGCGGCAAGAAGCCGCCAAAAUACAACAAGAAGCUUUUCGGGGCAUUUUUCUCUAUGGAGUCGCAAGCGAAGACCAGCAAAGCAUUGCACGGUGGAGCUAUGCAAGAGAGGCCUUUCACUGUCCGUAGGGCUCUACCUAUACUCUUUCUAAACAUCACUGGCCUUCUCAAGUGUCUGCCUCAGCAAAACAUCCUCUCACAAGGAAGCGUCCAAAAACAACAUCACAUAACUCAACUGAGUCUCCAUAGAAAUCAGAAAUGUCCACUUCAGUAUCCAACAGUCACACGAUGGGCACAGACCUGCAAUUCUUCCUCCUUGGCACAUUUCUGGGUGUCUGGGUUGUGCCAGACGUUCAGACCAAGAACAUAUAGCCCCGUGUCAUCAUUGUGGAACUUUUUUUUCAAACUGUUUUCCCCCACAAAACCCCAAACUCCUUGCUAGCAAGGAAGUUGUUCGUCUUUAUGUUCUAAACACUGGGGACCAUAGACAGAAAGUGUUUUAUGGAUAUUUAUUGCAUAAACAAAUACAGUUCUAGGAGAUUACAGCACCUUCUAGUCCAGAAUACUCACGACCCCCACAUCAGCACCACAAACCAUUGUUACAUAAUCCACGGAAUAUGAGCUGAUGUGAGGUUCACCUCCAGUCCUGGCACCUUCUGCACCCUCUCCAUGUUCAUAUUUAACUAUGCACCUUAGCAAGUGUAUCCUCUACACUGUAACGACCAUAGGACGACAGGAAAGAGAGAGGAGGAAAGCCCUACAGCAUGGCAAAGGUGGAAUCUUCUCCCGUCUUCUCUGUUCUUUUUUUUUUUUUUUUUUCUGGAGCUGGGAACCAAACCCAAGGCCUUGCACUUGCUAGGCAAAUGCUCUACCACUGAGCUAAAUCCCCAACCCCGUUCUUUUUUUGAUAUGCACAUGUAUGUGCAUUUUUGCUUCUGUGUGUGCACGCACAAAGGUGUGUGUGAAGGCCUGGUAUUGAUGUUGAAAAUCACCCUCGAUCACUCUUUCGCCUUAUUCAUUGAGACAGGCCUCUCAAUCAAACCCAGAGCUCAUCUAUAUGGGUAGUCUUCUAGGCAGCUUGCUCUGGGGAUCCCCUAUCUCUGCCUUCCUGUGGUGAUUCCCCUGCAGGCUUUACAACAAGCAAGGGAAAGCCGGUCAGGGUGAGAUUAGAAUGAAACUCGGCUCAGCCAAAUUUUAUUCUUACCAGCUUUAGGUCAGGUCCUCCAGAGCCUGGCCCAGAUCAUUCUACUUUAGCCAUAUGUGGUAGUUUGAAUAUGCUUGGCCCAGGGAGUGUCACUAUUAGGAGGUGUAGAUUGGUAGAAUAAGUCUCAUUUUGGGGGUGGGCUUUGAGAAUGUCUCCUAGCUGCCUGGAGGCCAAUCUUCUCCUAGCAGCCUUCAGAACAAGAUAUAGAACUCUCAACUCCUCCAGCACCAUGCCUGCCUGGAUACCAGCAUGCUUCCUGCCAUAGUGAUAAUGGACUGAACUUUUAAACCUGUAAGCCUGCAGCAAUUAAAUGUUGUCCUUGGGGUUGGGGAUUUAGCUCAGUGGUAGAGCGCUUGCCUAACAAGCGCAAGGCCCUGGGUUCGGUCCCCAGCUCCGAAAAAAAGGAAAAAAAAAACAAAAAAAUAAAAAAAAAUAAAUAAACCAAAUCAUUAAAAAAAAAAAUGUUGUCCUUGAUGGGCAUUACCUUGGAAAUGGUGUCUCUUCACAGCUGUGGGAACCCUAGCUAAGGCAUCUUAAAUAAGCAGAGCGCAAUUUUGGAAAAAAGGAUUCAGGUAACAAUGAACUCAGCCCCACGAGUUUAAGGCACGCUUCUAUCAGCACUCUUAGCAAAGCGCAAACGAGCACACGGCUCCUUCACAAGACCGGGUGCUGCUCACUCAGAGAGUACCCAAGGUUUACCGUCUAGAGAGACUGACAGAGGUAAGCAUCAUGCCUGUGCGAGUCAGGAUCCGCCUGUCUCCAAGACAACACGACGUCACUUAGGCUGCCAUGAAGCACAAAUAACAUUUCUCCUAAGGAUGGGUUUUAUGAUCUAAAAGCAAUGCUCAAGAUUUAGGCGAAACAGUCUGAGAAAUUCUGAAUGAUGGAGCAGAGACCAUCUCAGACAGAAAAGGUUAUAAAACUCCGUCCGUCAUUCCUGUCAUUCCAGAAAGAGCAGCUAUGCAUCGCAGUCCACUGAAGAGGGAAACCGUGUGUUUAUCUUUCCCGGCUUCUCCAGUGCUCAUCUGUCUGCACAAGGCCUUUUUGCCUUCUACACCUUCCCAAGCUGGAAUUUUGGGUGGGCCUCCUCAGCCACCUGGCAUUUAUGAGGGUUCAAGGGACCCAAGCUUCAGUUUUCACAUUUGGGCCACAAAUGCUUUAACCACUGAGCUGUCUCCCCCACCCCCCAAUUUGGACCUUGUGACAGCAAAAUAGGGCAAAGGUAAGGCUCAGGUUGAGUUGAAAGACUACCUAGGGUGAGAGCCAUGGUAACUCAGGGCAGAACAGGACAAGUGCCAAUCAGAAGCCAUUCUGUCUGUUCUUAGACAGGUCUUAAGUAAGCCAUACUGACCUUAAACUUACCAGAAAGGCAAAGCUGGCUUUAAAUCUAUUCUCCUGUCUCCACCUAGCACCAAGUGGUAGGAUCUCGAGUAUGCACUACUAUGCUUGAAUUAAAAGCCAGUCUCAAAAUUCAGGUCAGUUCUGAAACAACUCAAGUGUCCACCAGUGAAUAAAUGAUUAUUCAAAAUGCAGCAAAACACUUUAAAAAAAUAAAUUCUGAUACACACUACAACAUGAAUGGACCUGAAAAGGGUUCUUCUAAGUGAAAUAAAAUAGCCACAAAAAAGACAAACGCCGGGGUUUGAGGGUGUAACUCAAUGAUAGGUCAUAUCUCUGGCAUGCAUGAAGCCCUGGUUUUGAUCCCACAGAGCACACAUGCACACAUGCACACACACACACACGCACAGUAGAAUCCCAGUUCCCAGAGGGUAAAGGACCUGACGGGAAUAAAGAUUCAACUUUGCAGGUGAAAAGGUUCUCAAGAUCGGUCAUACAAAAAUGUAAGUAUAAUUAACUGUUGGCUCAGCUGCACUCAACAAUUGCUAACCAAGUAAAAGCAGUGUCUUAGUGAUAGAGACUCUUGCUAUGAUGAAACGCCAUAACCAAAAGCAAGUUGGAAAGGAAGGAGUUUAUUUGGCUUAUAGAUCCAUGUUGCUGUUCAUCAUCAAAAGAUGGAAGGAAGGAAAGAAGGGAGGAAGGAAGGAAAGAAGGGAGGAACAAAGGAGGAAAGGAAGGAUGGGAGGGAGGAAGGCAGGGAAGGAGGGAGGAAGGGAAGAAGGACAGGAGGGAGGGAGGGAGGGAGGGAGAUGCAGACAGAAAACCAAAUCUGAAUUCUGGAACAUAUACAACUGAGGCCCUUUAUUUCUCAAGCUAACUUCUGGAACAACUAAUAAACAUUAUUGAAGAGACCAUGCCUUUUCUAUUUAAACAGAACACCUUUUAAUGCAAAGUGGUGUUAUUUAAAUGCAGAAGGCAACUGGAGAGAGCAGCAAGGAGCACUUGGGACGCCCUGCAGUCUACCCUCAAUAGCACCAAGACAAAAAUCUAACUGAAUGUUAAAAAGCUAUAAUAAGAUACAUAUUCCUAAGUACAUAAAGCAGGAGCCAUGAGGAGUAGAGUUUUGAAGGCCAGGGCCAAUGUCUAAUGCCUGACAGGCAUCAUUACUGAAUUCUAAUGUAAGUCAAGAGAACAAGAGGGAAAAAUGGUCCCUUUGCACUGGUACUAUUUAGUGUAAAUACAUUCCCCAAAUACAAUAGAGAUGCUUUUUCCUCCCUGAGACAGGAUCUUACUAUGAACUCUAAGAACUCAUAGAGACCCACUUGCCUCUGCCUCUUGAGUUCUGGAAUUGAAGUUGUGUGCCCCUAAACUCAGGCAUAACUGUCUUUUUGAUAGGCUCUAUUGAGAAGUAGAGCUGGGUGUGGUCGCUCACACCUUUAAUUCCAGCACUCAAAAGCUUGCCGAGUUCAAGGCCAGCUUGGACUGUAGUCCAAUGUAGUCCAAUGUAUGGCAAACUCCAGGACAGGGAGGAAUACAAAGAGAAACCCUGUCCCAAAAACACAAAACAAACAAAGUUAAUUGUAUAGUUUCAUGCCCGUUUUCCUUUUUACUGCUAUCCCUCCCCCAACACCCUGACCCACACUCUUUCUGAGACAGGGUCCCUCUCAUGUACUCCAAGUUGGCCUUGAACUGAGGCUCCCACCUCCACCUCCCAAGGGCCGGGGUUGGAGGUAGGUACUGCUGUGCUUAGUUUCAUGCCUUGUUGAUAAAAACAUUUACUAACUAGGAGGUAAAAAGGAAGCUGAUGAGAUGGCUCAGUGGGUAAAAGUACUUGCCAUCAAGCUUGAUGAUCUCGGUUCAGCACCCACAUAUUAUGCUCCCCAAAUUAUCCUCCUACUCAUGCACACAGAUUGUGGCAAAUGUGUUCAGAAGAUCAUAGGCACGAAUACACACAUACACAAUGAAUAGUGAAUAAACAAACAAACACAUAAAGAAUUUUUUUCUUAAAAAGACAUAAAAUAAAAAGCAGUCAGGCAAGGUGGAAGAUACGGUGAAGUCCAGCUAUUCAGAAGGCAAGAGGAUCACAUAAGCCUAGGAGUUUGAGGUCAGCUUGGGCAACGUAAAGAAAUCUCAUCUCAGAAAUGAAAACAGGGUGGGUGGUGGGUGGGGGUGGGGCCUGGAGAGAUGGCUCGGUGGUUAAGAGCAGUGACUGCUCUUCCAGAGGUCUUGAGUUCAAUUCCCAGCAACCACAUGGUGGCUCACAACCAUCUGUAAUGGGAUCUGAUGCCCUCUUCUGGUGUGUCUGAAGACAGCUACAGAAUACUCACAUAAAUAAAUUAAAAAAUUUUUAAAGAAUGAAAACAGGGGCUGUAGAGAUGGCCCAGCAGUUAAGAGCACUUGUGGCUCAUGUUGAAGACCCUUGUUUGGACUCCAGCACCCAUAUAGUGGCUCACAACCAUCCCUAAGUGUAGUAGCAGGGGGAUCUGAGGCCCUCUCCAUUUUCUGACCUCUGAAGGCACUAAACAUACACGAAGUGUCUUAGAUAUACAUGCAGACAAAACACCCAUACACACAAAUAAAUCUAAAAGCAAUGAAAUCAGGAACCAGACAGAUGGUUCAAUGGGUAAAGGCACCUGUUGCUAACCCAACAGCCUGAGCUGGUUAGAGAAUCAAUUCCUGCAAGUUGUCUUGACUUCCCCCCCCCCCCACAGGCUCAGCACACACAUGACCACCACAACGUGUGAGUAAAUAUAAAAACAAAAAGCCCAAGUCAGCCUGUCUGCAAUCUCCUCGGGCCAAAACCAAAGGUAAGCCAUACCUAGGAUCAGGGUUCACACAUCUUAAAAAUAGGAGUUUUGCUUCACUUGGGGCCUAUGUCACAGAAAACACCUUGAGUUCAUAUCCCAAAGUGUACACAGCCACCGCCAUGGCUUGGCUCACUCCUACUCAGCUUAUACAAGCACAGUGAAAACAGCCAUGCAUCAGAUCCUUAGAAUGGAGGAAGAGCUGGGCAAAAAAGCCAAGUUUUCUGGCAGGCCCUUCAGGAACCCACUGGCCAAGUAAGGCAUGAACUGGAGAUCCCUGGGGCUACCAGAUCCUCUGUCCUUGGUGUUACCCAGGCUGCUCAAAGCCAGCCCAGUGAUUGCCCCUCCCGAUGCUACUGCUUCCUUAGAUGUCCACCCCUGACCACCUGGAGCCCUGCUGGAGCCCCCAGCUCUGUAAUCGUGUGAUCGAUCGGUCUGAAUCAUUGUUUCUGUCACCUGACUUCCCAGUUAGUGUCUGGGACCCUCAUAACUCCAGUGUAAUCCCUUGGGUGCCCACCGUCAAGACUCCCCCAGUGGUUUACAUGCAAAAAUAAAAGCCGCAGAAACCCCCAAAACCCCCGAAAUAAAAGAAAACAGCCAUGUUCUGAGUCCUGUCCCCAAAGAAUGAAGCAACUUUGCCAUUCCUGCCCAAAUGAAGAGGCAACUUCCGGUUUCCUUGGGUAGUUAUGUCAAAUGGUGUUUUGCUAAAGCAGAUACGUGAAAGGACAGAUGAUGUCUAGAAGGAAAAUAAAUAUAACCCAACAGACAGUGGACGACCCUGGAUGGUGUUGCUGUGCCUUACUCUUCACUGGUCUUCACUUCCUUGGGAGAGGCACAGCAGAGAACUUCUCCUGGCAUCCCUGCUGGCCCUGGUUGCCCCUGUUGACGCAUGCUGAUUCCUGUUUGCUAUCCUGACACCACUGAACUAGGCUGCUGGUAUCCUGACAGAUGGAUAUUGAAACUGCCCCAAGGAACAGCACCAAGCAGAACAUCAUGGUUUCUUCUGGAUCGACCUGCUGUUGCCAAAUCGUGACUGGUGUUCAUGAGCGCAUCCGACUACUACUGCUGACUCCGUGAACUGAACCGCUGAUACCCUGACAACACAGACUGGAUUUGCUCCAACAACUUUUCCUUUCCACCACCUCUGAAGCCGGUUAUCACUGUUAUUCAGACAUCGUCAGAGUAUUUCAGGUGGAUGAGUUAGAUGAAGAAAGCUAACUAAGAUAAAGUGGAACAUCUGUAGGGCUACGAUGACAACCCAGGCAAGAGACUGUCAUCGGCCUGGACUUGAGAAGUCUCAGAGGAGCUCAGGCAUGAGUAGAGCUGGAAGAUCUUCAGCUGGCCUUGGAGCUACAGUGCUCUGCUAGGCAGGUUAAGGCACAGGAAGUGUCAUGACUUCCAGGCUUUUGACUUGUGUGUUUGGAAGAAUGAGACCAAGACAGUGAUGGAGACUCCCCAGAGGAACUGCGCUGUAUUGGAGACAGCCAGAAGGAAACGUUGAGAAACGAAGUGGAAGCUUCUAGGUCUUUGGAAACUUAUGUCAAAUGAUUGUUUGCUGGGGCUCACAGGUGGAAGGAUGUCUUGCUAAAGCAAACAUGUGAGAGACUGUUGUCCUGAAGCAGACACAGGUGAAAGGACGCUUGACGAAGGAGUAUCAAUGUGGCCCCAUAGACAGUGGAGACAAGCACUGUAUGUUUGCCUUACAUAGCACUGCUGAGCUCAACUUGUGAUACACAGCCAUUGAGAGAAGCUCUCCCAAGAACUGUUUCCAAGGGCUGGAGAUGGCUCAGUGGUUAAGAGCACUGACUGCUCUUCCAGAGGGCCUGAGUUCAAUUCCCAGCAACCACAUGGUGGCUCACAACCAUCUGCAGUGGGAUCCAAUGCCCUCUUCUCAUGUGUCUGAAGUCAGCUACAGUGUACUCACGUGCAUACAAUAAAUAAAUAAAUAAAUAAAUAAAUAAAUAAAUAAAUAAAUAAAUAGUAGGUUGCAAAAACUGCAUACCUACAGAGAAACAGGAAAGGAGGGUCAGGAGUUCAUGGCCAGCUCUCAUUAUAUACUGAAUUCAAGGCCAGUCUGGGCUAGAGAUCCUACCACAUAAAACAAAAGCAAAUAAAGCAACUGGGGACUGAGCGUAGUGGAACUCGGGAGGAUUCAGGAGGCUGGUACAGGAGGACCAUGAGUUCCUGGUGAACAACAAAACUCCAUCUCAAAAGGAAGCGGGGUGCUUGCUGCACAAAUCCGAUGACCCGAGUUAGAUUCCUGGAACCCAGACUCCGGAAAGCUGGGCUCUGACCCCCACACACCCGACCCUGCACACACACCCUCUCAACACACAUACCCUCCCCUCUACACAAUCCCCCCGGCACACACAAACUCCCCUCCACACAAUAAUAAAAAUACUUUCUGCAAGGUCACUGAGUGAGGCUGGAGAGUUAGCUUGUCAGCUUGUUAGCUUGUCAGUGUUCUUGCACACGACCUGCGUUCAAUUCCCAGUACCCACAUGAUGGCUCGCGCCCAUCUAUAGCUUUGAUUCUAAGGGAUCCAUCGUCCUCUUUCCUCUGCCCUACUCAGACAUCGGGCAUGCACACGGUGCACACACAUAAAAGCAGACGAAACACCCAAAAACAUAAAAUAAGAUAAACACAUCUUUAAAAAGAUUUUUGGGGUUGGGGAUUUAGCUCAGUGGUAGAGCGCUUGCCUAGGAAGCGCAAGGCCCUGGGUUCGAUCCCCAGCUCCGAAAAAAAGAACCAAAAAUAAAUAAAUAAAUAAAUAAAUAAAUAAAGAUUUUUAAGGGACACUGAAGAUGAGGACUUUCAAACCUGUGGGAUUUACCUAGGUAUUGUUGGUGGAUUUAGAGAGUGAAUCAUGUAGAGUGGGAAGGAUGGAUCCCAGCCUACUUAAAGCUUCCAUUAACUCAAAGCCAGCCUGCCACUUUCCCAAUCACCCAUAUUUGGCAAUAAAGAGAAUAAGUAGUAAAGCCUGAGACCUGUUGCGUGUCGUCUCUCCCGGACAGCUCUAGCAGGAAGCUGUCUUUCACCCCAGCCCCUUCUCCCCUCCUGAACCUACCAUGUGCAGGAUGCCUAGAGCAUUGUCCAGUCCAGAUGCCAAGCUAGGUCUUUGCGUUUGAAGGCUCUUGACAAUGUCUACAAGCUGUCCCACCAGCUCAGUCAGCUCCUGGACAACUUGUGUAGUGCUUUUCUGUACUGUCACCUUUAAAAGAGCACAAUUGGGCUUCUGGUUCACAAAAAAAAUUGGACCCAGGAAUAUAGUUCCCCCAAUAGAAGAAGCUUUAAAUGCCAAGGAAGCAGACAGGUAGACCAAUGGAAAAAUAGCUGGAUAAAGUGAUGCCUUUCAUCCCAGCCCUGGGGGGCAGGGUUGGGGGAGAAAAUGCAAAUGCUACUCCAAGGGGCAAGGAGUCCUUUCAACAAACACCAUCAGGAAAAUGGCAUGAACAAAUAAAGUUAGAUUCUUCUGUUGGUUUGUUUUGCUUUUGAAACAGGGAGGGUCUCUCUACAAUGUCCUGACUGUCUUGGAACUCACUGUGUAGACCAGACGGGCCUGGGACUCACAGAGGUUUACCUGCCUCUGCCUUCAAAGUGCUGUGAUUAAAGGAACGUGAUGUGCUAAUGAAAGGGGUGAAUCCGCCUGAGCCAGGCUGACUCCAUGACAGGCUGCAAACUAGCAGUUCAGGAGACCAGGCCUGGGUUUCCACUUCCCAGAACUGUCAGUUCCCGGAACACCACAGACUUAUGUAAAAGAAACCCUUCCCCAGCUUACAAAAGGACAGUUAGCCAAGCUUGUGGCCAAGAGGUCUAGAGCUACCCCUCCAUGGCAUGAAGCAAGAAUAGUCAGUCAAAUGUAUAUAAGAAAUACUCAAGUUAAUAAAAAAAAAAAAAAAAGAAUAGUCAGUCAAGUAUGCUUGAAGCAAAACCCUAACCAAUGACAGCAUCACCCAGACCCCCCAGCGAUAGAACCGACCAAUCAGGAUACAGAUCACCUACCCCUCUCUAAUGUUCCUCUUUUUGGCUUUAAAACUGAAUCUGCAGAUUCGGUCAGGGUCCUUCCAUCCCAAUGGAAUUGGGUCCCUGCAUGCAGGAGUUCACUCAAUAGACACUCUGCUUUUGCAUACUAUUAGAAUCUAGGGCAUAUUUGUCAGCAAUUCAGACCCUAACACUAUCAUACCUUGCUUGAAGUUAGAGUCUUAUCCUAACACUAUACAGGAAAAUAAAUGAGGAGGCCGGGGACAGUGCAUGCCUCGAAGUGUGAAACUGAAGACAGGAACUGUAGAGGAAUUUUAAUCCAGGAACAUGGCUACUCUGGAGAGAAUUACAGACAUGCCCUUGGCACACACCUUUCAUCCCAAACAAUGAAGGUAAAAUUAGUUUGUAGAAGGAAGCAGCCAUGUUUGAAAAUUAUGUCUAACUGAGGGACAGACAAAGUGAUAAAUCAUAGACAAAAUAAGAUAUCCCCAACUCUGGGCUGGAGAGAUGGCUCAGUGGUUAAGAGCACUAAUUGCUCUUCCAGGGGUCCUGAGUUCAAAUCCCAGCAACCACAUGGUGGCUCACAACCAUCUGUAAUGGGAUCUGAUGUUCUCUUCUGGUGGGUACUUAUAUAUAACAAAUGAAUAAAUCUUUUAAAAAAAGAUAUGCCCAACUCUCAUGAGAAGGGACAGGAAAGAGUCAAACUUAGGAAAGGCAUAAGGGGGGGGGGAGAGAGAGAGAGAGAGAGAGAGAGAGAGAGAGAGAGAGAGAGAGAGAGAAGCGCUGGAGAGAUGGCUCAGUGGUUAAGAGCACUGACUGUUCUUCCAGAGGUCCUGAGUUCAAUUCCCAGCAAUCACAUGGUGACUCAUAACCAUCUGUAAUGGGAUCUGAUGCCCUCUUGUGUCUGAAGACAGUGACAACUACUUGUACAACUACUCAUACAACUAAAAUAAAUAUAACUUUGGGGUUGGGGAUUUAGCUCAGUGGUAGAGCGCUUGCCUAGCAAGCGCAAGGCCCUGGUUUCGGUCCCCAGCUCCGAAAAAAAGAAAAA